rnacentral:rRNA from 1 species
UACGUAGGGGGCAAGCGUUGUCCGGAUUUACUGGGCGUAAAGAGCGUGUAGGCGGUCUGUCGCGUCUGCUGUGAAAACUCAGGGCUUAACCCCGAGCUUGCAGUGGGUACGGGCAGACUAGAGUGCGGUAGGGGAGACUGGAAUUCCUGGUGUAGCGGUGAAAUGCGCAGAUAUCAGGAGGAACACCGGUGGCGAAGGCGGGUCUCUGGCCGUAACUGACGCUGAGGAGCGAAAGCAUGGGGAGCGAACAGG